rnacentral:lncRNA from 1 species
AGCCUGGAGGAGCGGGGGGGCAGGCGGGCCCCGGAGCGGGAUUGGGGCACGGCGUCGGCGGGGGGACGACUCCUGUUGCGGCAGGCGUGCCCGGGAGUGCUGGUAAGUCACGAGGAAGUUUAAAACCUGUGGACCAAACAGGAUUAAGGUCAACUUGAGUCGGGUACGAUUAGUGCAGCCCCAAGUUAUUUACUUGAGAGUUGCGGCUAGGUGAGCAAGAAGAUGGAUAGAAGACAGACACUCCCAGGCAGUGUGAGGCCAGCUCCACCCCUGGGCACAGACUGCAGGCACCAGCCGACCCGGGUACCAACUGAUUGAACCCCCUGCUGAGCCCUGCUCUCUCCUGUACAGCUGCCCCAAAGCCAUGGGCUUCCCUGCUGCAGCAUGUGUCGAUGGGUCCUCUGUUGCCUCUGACGUCUCCCCAGGCACUCGUACGCUGCACAAGGGUCUGGAUGUCUCCAGCAGCGGCGCAGCAGCCGGACGCGUCCUCUCGUCUGGGACGCGGGGUCCUUCACCGCUCUUCUGGGAUACGGGGCCCUUGAGAUGGGACCAAUGAUAGGAAAUGCUGACGAAGAGAAAAGCUGGACAAGCAGUUUUUUGAGAUUAAUACCUAAGGGACGGGAUGAAACAAGGAAGCCAAAAUGCAGCGGACCCUCGAUAUCACUGGAAACGGCUACGGCAGGAGGUGUUCUGGCACAGGCAUUCAGAACCUCGGGGAACGACUGUAUGCUGCCAUGAAGAACUACAGGCUACCACCGCCCUCGGACCUUCGUAAGUUAUCAUGUAUCAAGAGCGACCAGGAGAAUCCAAACGGCAGCGGAAAGGUUCUCUGCCUGGUCUUGACGAGGAGCCUUCGGCCAUAGGAAGGUUGGCCGCGUCCUUAUCAGACUUGUGAGUAAUAAGCCGCAAUUCAUGGAAUGGCAAAGGAGGGGUGGAAUAGCGACUGGUAGCCCAGUUGCUAUGGCGUUGCUGUUGCUGGCAGGGCCACAAGGUCUGUGCGAAGCCUGUCUACCUGGAAUAACCAGUGAGGCCUAAAAUAGGAAUUCUCGUGGCUAGAUGG